GGGCGUAAAGCGCACGCAGGCGGUCUGUCAAGUCGGAUGUGAAAUCCCCGGGCUCAACCUGGGAACUGCAUUCGAAACUGGCAGGCUUGAGUCUUGUAGAGGGGGGUAGAAUUCCAGGUGUAGCGGUGAAAUGCGUAGAGAUCUGGAGGAAUACCGGUGGCGAAGGCGGCCCCCUGGACAAAGACUGACGCUCAGGUGCGAAAGCGUGGGGAGCAAACAGGAUUAGAUACCCUGGUAGUCCACGCCGUAAACGAUGUCUACUUGGAGGCUGUGCCCUUGAGGCGUGGCUUCCGGAGCUAACGCGUUAAGUAGACCGCCUGGGGAGUACGGCCGCAAGGUUAAAACUCAAAUGAAUUGACGGGGGCCCGCACAAGCGGUGGAGCAUGUGGUUUAAUUCGAUGCAACGCGAAGAACCUUACCUGGUCUUGACAUCCACAGAAGUUUGCAGAGAUGCGAAUGUGCCUUCGGGAACUGUGAGACAGGUGCUGCAUGGCUGUCGUCAGCUCGUGUUGUGAAAUGUUGGGUUAAGUCCCGCAACGAGCGCAAC
rnacentral:rRNA from 1 species